GACCUCAAAUCAGAUAGGAUUACCCGCUGAACUUAAGCAUAUCAAUAAGCGGAGGAAAAGAAACUAACAAGGAUUCCCCUAGUAAUGGCGAAUGAAGUGGGAAAAGCUCAACUUUAAAAUCUGGCAGUCUUGCUGUCCGAGUUGUAGUCUCGAGAAGUGUUUUCCGCGCUGGAACGUGUAUGAGUCUGUUGGAACGCAGCGUCAUAGAGGGUGAGAACCCCGUUCAAGACACGUCUACCAGUGCUUUGUGAUACACUUUCCAUGAGUCGAGUUGUUUGGGAAUGCAGCUCAAAAUGGGUGGUAAAUUCCAUCUAAAGCUAAAUAUUGGCGAGAGACCGAUAGCAAACAAGUACCGUGAGGGAAAGAUGAAAAGCACUUUGGAAAGAGAGUUAAAAGUACGUGAAAUUGUUGAAAGGGAAACGCUUGAAGUCAGACGUGCACGGUAUUUAUACCACUGCAGGCCAGCAUCGGUUUUAUGAGCCGGAUAAAGGUUAGAGGAAGGUGGCAGUUUCGGCUGUGUUAUAGCCUCUUACUGAAUACGGAAUANAAGACCGAGGG
rnacentral:rRNA from 1 species